rnacentral:rRNA from 1 species
UACGAAGGGGGCUAGCGUUGUCCGGAUUUAUUGGGCGUAAGGAGUUCGUAGGUGGUUUGUUAAGUCUGAUGUUAAAGACUGGGGCUCAACCUCGGAAAUGCAUUGGAUACUGGCAGACUUGAGUGUGGUAGAGGCAAUCGGAAUUCCUGGUGUAGCGGUGAAAUGCGCAGAUAUCAGGAGGAACACCGGUGGCGAAGGCGGGUCUCUGGGCCGAUACUGACGCUGAGGAGCGAAAGCGUGGGGAGCGAACAGG